UUGAGGGUGUGUUGCCAGGUGCCGGUGUCCUCGACCAGUACCCGCUGCCCGAUGUGGUCCCCGUCGGCGAGAACGUCGAGCACGGUGUCCUCGCCGUACUCGCCGGGGCCGAUCCGGUUGGCCUUGCCGUGUGCCAUCAGCACCACCCGGUCGGCCGGACCGCCCCGUUCGACGAUGGGAUCUCCGGCAGCGUAGUGCUGCUGGGUGAACCGGUCGGCCAGCGCGGCCAGCGCCGACUCGUCGUCGAACCCGCGCAGCAGCGGAAGUUCCCGCAGCUCCUGCGGGAUCACCCGCAUCUCGGCACCGGUGCUGACGAAGGUCAACCGACCGUCACCGAGCAAAUAGGUCAGUCGUCGAUUGACGCGAUAGGUACCCGCCUGGACCUGCACCCAGGGCAGCAUCCGCAGCAACCAUCGCGAGGAGAUCCCCUGCAUCUGCGGCGCCGACUUGGUCGUCGUCGCCAAAUUACGGGCGGCCCCCGUGGUCAGGCUCGAGGU
rnacentral:antisense_RNA from 1 species